GUGAGUUGCCGGGGGCCGCGCCCUUGUGGCGGGCCGGGCGGCCAGGCACCGGGUGGGGUCGUCUGGGCGCCCGCGGGGCGGCGGAGGGCGCGCCCGACCCUCCCUCCCGGCUCCCUGUCCUCGACGCCCCCGCUUGCCCCCCGGGACUUACGGCGGCCGCGGGCCGCGGGCGCGGCGGAGCUCGGCCGGCGGCGGCGGCGGCGGCGGCGGCGGCGGUGCCGGCGGCGGCUGAGGGGAAGCCCCUGUCGCCGAGCGCUGGAAGAGAAGCCGUGUUGCUGUGGGGAGGGGACCCAGCCGGCGGAGGAAAGGCUUAGGCGGCGAGGGGAGGGCGAGCCGACAGACCCCGCCCCGUGGGCCGGACGAGGGAGGAGCCGGGGCUGCGGCGAGCGGAGGGGCGGGCUGGACGACGCGCGGGAACCCGCUAGGCCGUCGCCAUCGGCACCGGAGGCGGCGCGGGCGAUCGCACCGUCCGAGAAAGCCGAUUGGCCGCGUCCCUACCGAGAGGGGUGGUCUGGGCCGGAAGUCGGGCCACGUGACCCGGAAGCGGCUGCUGCCAAGGCCGGCGCGCCUGCGCAGGCCUGUGCGUGCCUUCGGAGCUCCGGCGGGUGGCUGCUGGGGCUCUCGGUGGCGGGAGGACGGGGUUCUGCGGUGCCCUUUGCCGACCCCGCUGUGCGGGGCAGGGCAGGGCAGGAUCGCGAAGAGCCAAGUUCGAGCCCGGAUAACUCUCCGCACCCAAAGAGGGUGGGGCAGGGAGGCGUGGCUGCCGCGAUGCUGGUGAGGGGAAAAAGGGAGUGCUGCACCCCUGGGGAAAACAAGCCUGCUCCGUGGUGGAGCUCGUGCACGCGUUCCGAGCGCCUCUUGCAAUUACUCUGCCUCCAAACUGCCUGGAAUCCAGCUCGUCCUGCCCAUCGCACUGCUCCAGCCCUAGACACCUUUUGCCCCAAGCUGUGCAAGUGUCUCUUCCCUGGCUUGCCUCGCCUAUCCUCAGUGCUGUGGAACUGA
rnacentral:lncRNA from 12 species